AUUGAACGCUGGCGGCAGGCCUAACACAUGCAAGUCGAACGAGUGGCGGACGGGUGAGUCAUGUCUGGGAAACUGCCUGAUGGAGGGGGAUAACUACUGGAAACGGUAGCUAAUACCGCAUACCAUCGGAUGUGCCCAGAUGGGAUUAGCUCGGAGGUGGGGUAAAGGCUCACCUAGGCGACGAUCCCUAGCUGGUCUGAGAGGAUUGACAGCCACACUGGAACUGAGAAACGGUACAGACUCCUACGGGAGGCAGCAGUGGGGAAUAUGGCACAAGGGGCGCAAGCCUGAUGCAGCCAUUCCGCGUGUAUGAAGAAGGCCUUCGGGGUGUAAAGUACUUUCAGCGGGGAGGCGUUACCCGCAGAAGAAGCACCGGCUAACUCCGUGCCAGCAGCCGCGGUAAUUC
rnacentral:rRNA from 1 species